UUUAAAUAUGGAAUGAUUGCGUUCUCAACUUUUUUGUGUUUAUGUGGUAUAUAAAAUGGCAAGUGUUCGAAAUUUCUCCUCUUCUUUCCAACUUGGAUGAAAUGGUUGAAUGAUAUUAUGAAGAUCAGUUCUACCUGGUUGGUAUUGUGGUGGUCUAGUUGUCGUGUUGUGGUUGAUGUGAUAACUUUUGUUCAUUUCUUGCUUUGAACUCCUUUUGCUUGGACAUUUUUAUUUUUUAACUACUGUUUAUGCUAUUGGUUUGCCAUGAUGGGUCUCUUGAAUUUACUUUCACUUCUACUGGCACCGGUGCAUUUUCCUUUUCUCAAUCCAUUAACUGUGAAACCCGAGUAACAUAUAAUUUGGCCUGUGGGAUUCUGUUUAGUCCUUGAUUUUGGUUUUCUUGGUCAAAAUUGUACGAUAAAAUCAAUCACUUUUCAGUUCUAUUUCUGAACACUGUCUCCUAUCAUCAACAGAUUGAUGACAUGGUGUUCUAAAAGAGGGGGGACUUCUUUUAUUUCCCUGUAGAGGGAGGGUGGAGAGAUUAAAAUGAUAGGAAUUCAAGUGAGAGAUUGGAGAACGGGUAAAAGUCUAUAAUGAUAAGAUUUGUCUCUUUACUAGAUAGAGUGCAUGUGUCUGAGAGACCAUUGUCCGUCAUAUAUCUCUAGCCGAUGUAAAACUUUAUUCUCUUAUCGGCAUUUGAUUCCACUUGAACAUCUUGAAUAUUAACGGACUCAUGGUUACGUAGAUUUGCAUGAUCCAGGAACUAAGAUCAUUUAUCAUGAGCAAUUACUUUUUAGGGUAGAUUAAAUACCCCUUUUCCGUUUUAAAGGUUUGAACUAGAAGUUUCCUUAGUUUCUAGUUUUGAAAAAUAUAGUAAUUCAACUAGAUAAGGAUCUUCUAAAUUGUUAUUGGGAACGAACCGCUGUUGGCAGAUUCGACGAAGGCUUUGAUGUGUUUUUGAGUUUGGAUACAGUUCUCUAUGUUCCAACAAUGAUGAAAUGGUGAAGGGAUUGAUUCACUAUUUAAUUUUGAGGUCGAUUUAUUUUUGUUCAAGCCACUUUUUUGUUCUUUUUUCUAGAGAAAAUCCGAGGUUGACUGGGUUAAAUUAUAAAAAUAUAUCUUUCUACUUUGUCCUUUGUUUCAAAAGCACUCAUAUUUUUUCGGAAGUUGCAAUACCUUAAUUCUUGACCUUACAUUUAAAUAUUUCUAAAUUAAUUUGAUAUAGAAGUUUUUUAGAAUGAUGAGGGAAAACAGACGUAACGGGUGUGGCAGUGACCUAGAACAAAUGUACUUUUUCUUCUUAUUGAAAAACAUUUAUUGGAAAAUAGAAAGACGACAAACAUAAAAACAUAAAACGGUGUUUUCUUUUUUUCUUUUUUUUUUGUUUGUUUUUUGUUUUCGUGCCUAAUAGGUAGUAUGCAUUAACAAUCAUAGUGUGUCCUGAAGAACCAUUCAGAAACAGGUUUGGUUUCUGAAUUUAGUGAUAAAAAGAACUCCAGCCCAAAAUUUAUGGGUUAUCAACUUAAUGAGUAAUCUAUCUAUUCCUUUUUCUGAAUAAUUGAAUGACUUGGAUUUAAAUUGUUGUCUUAUAUUUACAUAUAUUGGUCUAUUUAUCUUUCUUAUGACCUGUUAUUAAAAUGGAAAUACUUAAUCCCCUUCGGAAACAUUAAGCCACUCUAGUGAUAGAUAACCACUUUACUUUUGUUGUCCUAUUGUGACUGGACUUGGAGUGUACACAAACAAUUGAGAAGUUUGUAGUUGGGGGUACCUUAAAUAUCCAUGGUCCAGGUGAAAUCUUAAAAUAGCAUAAUGCCCAUAACCGCUAUUUCAAGAUGUAUAUACAAUUCUUGAAUAAGCCUCAGUACUCUUGUUGUAAUAUUGCAUGCCAAAAAAACCAAAGAACAGAAAGUUGGAGCAUUGUACUUGUUCUUCAUAAAAAAAAAAAAAGAAGUGUCUGAGACCAAACAAGGACAAUCAUAAAAAUGGAUUUCCGCUGAAAGUGUUCCUACUAUUUUGAACAGAACAAGAAGAUAGGAAAGUAACAGAGCGUAAUGCAUUUUGUGGGAAAUGAAGGAACAAGUUUCUUCUUCCCAAGAUGUAAACGUGGAGUCAUUUUAACCAUCUACUUUUUCACUAAGUUUUCACUUCAUGUUGAAGGGAAAUUAGUGUGUGUUUCUCAUUAGGACAGAAAGUAUGAUGAGCAUCAAUGUUGUAGCAACUUCAACUUUAAGCUCUGAUAAGUCUUUUUUGUAUGUGGACCAAAAGCUUAGCUUCCAAAUAUGGACCAGGAAAUUUCAGAGAAAGGGUGUGUUCAGGGUAAUAACAAGCUUUUGUAGUUCAGCCACACUUUCUUAUCUGAAGAUAGGAUUUUAAAUCUUGCAAUGGUUGGAUGAGAAACCCUCAAAAGCCAAAUGAAACUGAAUGAGCUGGAUGAGCAAACCUCUCUGGCGGGCUUGCCUUGUUUUACAUUUCCCCUUUCAAUUCAUGUCAGGUACGAAAUCUCCUCCCCUCUCCACACGUUUUUCCCCACCUCAUCAGCAUCACAUGAACUAAAAUUGGAAUUUUGCUUACUUUUCUUAUCUGAUUGACUCAUCAACAAACACAUAAACACAAAAGAGAAGUGAAGAAAAGUAGUCCACCGCUCCCUUUAAUUCUGCUGACUCCAUUUUUAGAUAUUUCAAGAUGGGACUUAAAAUGUGCAAAGCAGGCAAUUGGGUUUAGGAAAGAUGAUUUACUUUAACGCCUCAUAUUGUAGUGUACAACGUGAGGCAGGGAUUUCACCUCAGUAGUUUGUGAUGGACCUACAGAAAAAUAUUGACAUCUAAUUUUACAUGAUCUAGGAAGCUUAGAGUUUCUAUAACCAUACAUCUAAAACUAAGGUUGUCCUCCUUGUUAGACAUUUCCCAUGCCCAUCCUUGUGAACUUCACGUGUAUGUUUUGAAUUUCACGUGUACAAUGUCUUUAAUAUGGCUUUUCCCUUUUAAGUCAAUUGACCCAAUAAUCUGGGGGCCCCCCCUCCACUCUUCCCUUUGUUAAUUUGGGUUCUUCCUUUUUCCCUGUGGAAUCUGUAUUGGGAAUAUUUUGGCUUCCUCACCUACCUGACUAGAGAAAAAAAGGAAGAAAAAGCUGAGGAACUUUCUCUGUGAUUGAAUUUUUUAAAACUUUUGAUGGGACCAAAAGCUCACUGAUUAAUCUAAGUUUAGAUUAUUUUAUCGUCUGGUGGAUUGUUAUUUUUUUAUUUUUAAGGUGGGACCCUUUCUCAUUUGAAGCUUUGAUAAGUUAUGGCCUAUGAUUUUUGGAUCUUGGGUUGGUCCAAGUAUCAAGUAUAAGCUGAUCUCAUCCAUUCUUUCCCUUUAAGAACAUUCAAAAAGAAGUUUUUCCUGCACUUUUCCAUCACUUUCUUAGAGAUUUUUGUUCCAAUGAAAAUGAAUUUGAGUCAUCUUAAAGAAGGAUUGAGAUUAUGACGAGGCCCACAAAGAAGGGAAUUGAAGAAGAUAUGAAGAUUAGAAGUGGUUCUACAAUAGAGAAUUCUAAGACUAAAUCAUCAUGUAAAGGAGCUACUGGAUUUGUACAAGAAGGAAAAGGUAGGCUGUAUAUAUUUGGUAGAUGUGUUGCUAUGCUUCUUUGUUGGCAUGAUUGAAGCAAUUAUUAUUCGUAUUUUGUAACGAGUUUCAGAAUCCCCAAUUCAACUAUUUUUGUUCAUUCUUUUUCUUUGUGUUUUGUUUUCUUUUCUUUUUCCACUCUAUAUAUCUCUACACCAAUGUGUACAUUUUAUUGUAAUCUUUUAUAUGUGAAUAGGUUUCUGAUUACAAUAUGUCCUCGUUGAGGACGAGAGUUGGUCUUCAUUACCAAGAAAAAACUUCAUGUUAUAGUCCCAACUAUAAUUGAUAUGAUGAGAGAAUGGUUGAUUUA